UACGAAGGUGGCAAGCGUUGUUCGGAUUUACUGGGCGUACAGGGAGCGUAGGCGGUUGGGUAAGCCCUCCGUGAAAUCCCCGGGCCUAACCCGGAAAGUGCGGAGGGGACUGCUCGGCUAGAGGAUGGGAGAGGAGCGCGGAAUUCCCGGUGUAGCGGUGAAAUGCGUAGAGAUCGGGAGGAAGGCCGGUGGCGAAGGCGGCGCUCUGGAACAUUUCUGACGCUGAGGCUCGAAAGCGUGGGGAGCAAACAGG
rnacentral:rRNA from 1 species